GGACUUAUAGCUCAGUUGGUUAGAGCAGCAGACUCAUAAUCUGAAGGUCGUGGGUUCAAUCCCCUCUAGGUCCA
rnacentral:tRNA from 1 species